UACAGAGGGUGCAAGCGUUAAUCGGAAUUACUGGGCGUAAAGCGUGCGUAGGUGGUUGUUUAAGUCUGUUGUGAAAGCCCUGGGCUCAACCUGGGAACUGCAGUGGAAACUGGACGACUAGAGUGUGGUAGAGGGUAGCGGAAUUCCUGGUGUAGCAGUGAAAUGCGUAGAGAUCAGGAGGAACAUCCAUGGCGAAGGCAGCUACCUGGACCAACACUGACACUGAGGCACGAAAGCGUGGGGAGCAAACAGG
rnacentral:rRNA from 1 species